CAGCCGCCGCGGGAAAACAGAGGGUGCGAGCGUUAAUCGGAUUUACUGGGCGUAAAGCGAGCGCAGGCGGUUCCUUAAGUCUGAUGUGAAAGCCCACGGCUCAACCGUGGAAGGUCAUUGGAAACUGGGGAACUUGAGUGCAGAAGAGGAGAGUGGAAUUCCAUGUGUAGCGGUGAAAUGCGUAGAUAUAUGGAGGAACACCAGUGGCGAAGGCGACUCUCUGGUCUGUAACUGACGCUGAGGCUCGAAAGCGUGGGGAGCAAACAGGAUUAGAUACCCCCGUAGUCCCUGUCUCUUAUAC
rnacentral:rRNA from 1 species